GAUGAACGCUGGCGGCGUGCCUAAUACAUGCAAGUCGAGCGAACAGACGAGGAGCUUGCUCCUCUGACGUUAGCGGCGGACGGGUGAGUAACACGUGGAUAACCUACCUAUAAGACUGGGAUAACUUCGGGAAACCGGAGCUAAUACCGGAGAAUAUAUUGAACCGCAUGGUUCAAUAGUGAAAGACGGUGUUUCUGUCACUUAUAGAUGGAUCCGCGCCGCAUUAGCUAGUUGGUAAGGUAACGGCUUACCAAGGCAACGAUGCGUAGGCGACCUGAGAGGGUGAUCGGCCACACUGGAACUGAGACACGGUCCAGACUCCUACGGGAGGCAGCAGUAGGGAAUCUUCCGCAAUGGGCGAAAGCCUGACGGAGCAACGCCGCGUGAGUGAUGAAGGUCUUCGGAUUGUAAAACUCUGUUAUUAGGGAAGAACAAAUGUGUAAGUAACUAUGCACGUCUUGACGGUACCUAAUCAGAAAGCCACGGCUAACUACGUG
rnacentral:rRNA from 1 species